GACGAACGCUGGCGGCGUGCCUAAUACAUGCAAGUAGAACGCUGAAGGAGGAGCUUGCUCUUCUGGAUGAGUUGCGAACGGGUGAGUAACGCGUAGGUAACCUGCCUGGUAGCGGGGGAUAACUAUUGGAAACGAUAGCUAAUACCGCAUAACAGUAGAUGUUGCAUGACAUUUACUUAAAAGGUGCAAUUGCUUCACUACCAGAUGGACCUGCGUUGUAUUAGCUAGUUGGUGGGGUAACGGCUCACCAAGGCGACGAUACAUAGCCGACCUGAGAGGGUGAGCGGCCACGCUGGGAGUGAGGCACGGCCCAGACUCCUACGGGAGGCAGCAGUAGGGAAUCUUCGGCAAUGGACGGAAGUCUGACCGAGGAACGCCGCGUGAGUGAAGAAGGUUGUCGGAUCGUAAAGAUCUGUUGUAAGAGAAGAACGAGUGUGAGAGUGGAAAGUUCACAAUGUGACGGUAUCUGAACAGAAAGGGACGGCUAACUACGUG
rnacentral:rRNA from 1 species